rnacentral:lncRNA from 1 species
GAUUCAAUUUGGUUAUACAAGGAAAGCAAGAGCAAUGUAAACCAUAUUCCACUAGUAGAAAUCCCCUGAAGGAGUGUAGACAAUCAAAACACCUUAAAAAAAAUUUAGAAUAUAGCAUAUUUAGCAAGUAGCUUGAAAUCAAUAGGAGAUACUGAUAAUGUCAUUUAUUGGUGUGUCUAUUUUUUUCAUGAGAGACUGGAUUAUCAUCUUUGGUAUGCCAUGGAAAAAGCUGUGUUACUUCUAACAGGUCCAC